rnacentral:rRNA from 1 species
GACGAACGCUGGCGGCGUGCCUAAUACAUGCAAGUAGAACGCUGAAGGAGGAGCUUGCUUCUCUGGAUGAGUUGCGAACGGGUGAGUAACGCGUAGGUAACCUGCCUGGUAGCGGGGGAUAACUAUUGGAAACGAUAGCUAAUACCGCAUAAGAGUGGAUGUUGCAUGACAUUUGCUUAAAAGGUGCACUUGCAUCACUACCAGAUGGACCUGCGUUGUAUUAGCUAGUUGGUGGGGUAACGGCUCACCAAGGCGACGAUACAUAGCCGACCUGAGAGGGUGAUCGGCCACACUGGGACUGAGACACGGCCCAGACUCCUACGGGAGGCAGCAGUAGGGAAUCUUCGGCAAUGGACGGAAGUCUGACCGAGCAACGCCGCGUGAGUGAAGAAGGUUUUCGGAUCGUAAAGCUCUGUUGUAAGAGAAGAACGAGUGUGAGAGUGGAAAGUUCACACUGUGA